AAACCGCAUGCAGGUAAACGGGUGGCGUCAAGCUGCAAGCCCAGAGGAUUCAGCUGGCUAGGAUGUUGUGUAUGCGCUUGCGCAUCUAUCAGUCAGAAUAAGAUGUGAUAGUCCACUGGUAAACGGUGGGCCCGGCCGCAAGGUUGGGAUAUGUGUACCGGGCGGAAGCCGGAGCAUGCUAUUCGUCUGUUGGGCUGUCUAGUCAGUGCACUUUCUCUGUGGUGAACACCACGACCGGUGGAAUUGCCAGUCUGCUGUAGUCAAGUCGUAUUCAGUCGGUUCUUGUAGCCAACUGGGUGCGAUCACAGGCAAACUCAGUAAACGGCGUAGGGGUGUUUCGGCAUCCUUGCGUGUUAUCGGCUGCUGGUUGUCAACGGGCCUGCCUGAUGAUUGUUGUAACCGUCAUUGGGUGGUCUGGUGGACUAUGGUGGUAAGAAUAACUGUGCAAGGCAUCGGAGUUCUCGGCCUCAAAUGCAUCCUGCAUACACGUUACAAGUGGAGUGGGGUGCCAUUGCAGCCUGCCUGUUGUUGGGUCUGAUUGUCGUGUCGCCUGCGCAAAGUGGGCCCGGCAGUGGCCUGAUGCGGGAUGGGUUGUGGAUGGUGCUUCCUGUGUAGGGUGCGGUGGGUCAAAUA
rnacentral:rRNA from 1 species